ensembl:snRNA U6 U6 spliceosomal RNA
GUUCACUUUGGCAGAACAUAUACUAAAAUUGGAAAAAUAUAGAGAAGAUUAGCAUGCCUGCUGUGCAAGGAUUACAUGCAAAUUCAUGAAGUGUUCCAUAUUUUU